rnacentral:tRNA from 1 species
AGGGAUUUAGCUCAGCGGCAUAAGCGCCUGCCUUGCAAGCAGGAAGUCGUGAGUUCGAUCCCUG